CGUUAAAUUGAAACUAGUGCCGAACUGCCGAUAUAUAUCUGUACACAAGGGGACUGCAUUCUUUAAUUAGUAUUGUAGAUAUUUUUAUUUUCAACCAAAUUUUUACAAGCGCUCGUUAAUCGUUAGCUACAGUGAGUACAUUUCUAGAAAUGGCUGGUUUUAUGAAAGUUUUGCUCGCUGUGGUGUUAGUUGUAAAUGUGGUUCUCCAUCAAGCGUCUUGUAACAAUGAGGCUGGUAAUGAAGACCAUUUAUCCCGAGAGAAACGUAAGGUCGAACCGGAUACCUGGUUUAACUGCUGGACGAAAGAUUUGAAUCAUGACCGGAAGAACGCCGUGAAGUGUGGCCAGGUGCACCAUUACAAGGGGAAAUUCAGCGCGCAGGAUGACGAGUGUACUAAGCAGCAUCGUGACUGCUGCACCAAGAAUGGGAAUAAAGGAUGCCACUGGAGUUUCAGUUAGAGAAGAAAGUGCGGCCGUGUUCAUGUAAUGGAUUGGUAAAUAACUGGUUAUUUGCUACGAGGUCUGAUUUUUUUGGCAUUUACGGUAUAAUGUUGUUACUGUUCUGGUAAUGUUUAUUUUUGUAUACAGUAACUGAAUGUACGGGCGGAUGCGCCGGGCCCGGCAGUAUUGCGCUCGCGUUGGUACUUGAAAAUCAUGAAAUGUAUUCCGUCUUGUAAUUCAGUAAAAAUCCAGAAUCUUG